rnacentral:rRNA from 1 species
AUUGAACGCUGGCGGCAGGCCUAACACAUGCAAGUCGAACGGUAACAGGAAGCAGCUUGCUGCUUCGCUGACGAGUGGCGGACGGGUGAGUAAUGUCUGGGAAACUGCCUGAUGGAGGGGGAUAACUACUGGAAACGGUAGCUAAUACCGCAUAACGUCGCAAGACCAAAGAGGGGGACCUUAGGGCCUCUUGCCAUCAGAUGUGCCCAGAUGGGAUUAGCUAGUAGGUGGGGUAACGGCUCACCUAGGCGACGAUCCCUAGCUGGUCUGAGAGGAUGACCAGCCACACUGGAACUGAGACACGGUCCAGACUCCUACGGGAGGCAGCAGUGGGGAAUAUUGCACAAUGGGCGCAAGCCUGAUGCAGCCAUGCCGCGUGUAUGAAGAAGGCCUUCGGGUUGUAAAGUACUUUCAGCGGGGAGGAAGGGAGUAAAGUUAAUACCUUUGCUCAUUGACGUUACCCGCAGAAGAAGCACCGGCUAACUCCGUG